rnacentral:rRNA from 1 species
UACAGAGGUGGCAAGCGUUGUUCGGAAUUACUGGGCGUAAAGGGCGCGUAGGCGGUCUGGUCAGUCCCUUGUGAAAUCCCCCGGCUCAACUGGGGAACUGCACGGGAAACAGCCGGGCUUGAGUUCGGGAGAGGGAAGCGGAAUUCCGGGUGUAGCGGUGAAAUGCGGUAGAUAUCCGGAGGAACACCGGUGGCGAAGGCGGCUUCCUGGACCGAUACUGACGCUGAGGCGCGAAAGCUAGGGGAGCAAACGGG